rnacentral:lncRNA from 1 species
UGUAUACCCGUAUUUGUGUGUGUGUAAAGUGCAUAAUAGUAAAUUUUCAGUACAUUACUAUAUACAUUUCUAUAUACAUUGAUAUAUACACUUAUUAUCAGUUUAUACAUUUAUUAAUGUAUAAUGUACACUGAUUUAUAUACUAUACACACACACAUGCAUUCAUACUCACACUCACACUCACACUUACACUCACACUCACACCCACGUACACACACACUCACAUUCACACUGAUAUCGUACGCACAUGCACCCUUACGCAUUGAUAGUGCAUACAUACAUUUCUAUAUACACUGAUAUGUAUGUCCAUAUAGAUACUUUUUAUCAGUUUAUACAGUUAUUAGUAUAUAUGUACAUUGAAAUGUAUAUACAUACAUUCAUAUGCAUAUGUAUAAAGGGUUUAUAUUUACACUAAUGUAUUAGACCAUGUGUAUACUUAUUAUCAGUGAUAUAUACAGUUAUUAGCUCAAUUUGAAUAUGUAUAUACUUAUUAGCUCACACUCAUGCCUAAUCACACUGACACUCAGAAAUAUAUAUACUAUCACCUCUAAUCUGAUAUGCCUCGGCGAAAUUCCAUAUUACUUUGUAUAGAAUUAAGCAUAAGAAUGGGUUUUUUCUCUUGAUGAAUUGGGUAUGCUAAAUACGCAAUUGUGAUAAUUCAUGUUAAUUUUUUAUCUUAUUUGUACUUGU